rnacentral:rRNA from 1 species
UACCGAGGGUGCGAGCGUUGUCCGGAAUCACUGGGCGUAAAGGGCGCGUAGGUGGUGGCUUAAGCGUGCGGUGAAAGCUCGGGGCUCAACUCCGAGUCGGCCGUGCGAACUGGGCUCACUGGAGCAUAGUAGAGGCAGGUGGAAUUCCGGGUGUAGCGGUGGAAUGCGUAGAGAUCCGGAAGAACACCGGUGGCGAAGGCGGCCUGCUGGGCUAUGGCUGACACUGAGGCGCGACAGCGUGGGGAGCAAACAGG